rnacentral:rRNA from 1 species
CCUACGGGAGGCAGCAGUGAGGAAUAUUGGUCAAUGGGCGUAAGCCUGAACCAGCCAAGUCGCGUGAGGGAUGAAGGUUCUAUGGAUCGUAAACCUCUUUUAUAAGGGAAUAAAGAGUGGGACGUGUCCUAUUUUGUAUGUACCUUAUGAAUAAGGAUCGGCUAACUCCGUGCCAGCAGCCGCGGUAAUACGGAGGAUCCGAGCGUUAUCCGGAUUUAUUGGGUUUAAAGGGUGCGUAGGCGGCCUUUUAAGUCAGCGGUGAAAGUCAGUGGCUCAACCAUGGAAUUGCCGUUGAUACUGGGGGGCUAGAGAGUGUUUGAGGCAGGCGGAAUGCGUGGUGUAGCGGUGAAAUGCUUAGAUAUCACGCAGAACCCCGAUUGCGAAGGCAGCCUGCCAAGCCAUGACUGACGCUGAUGCACGAAAGCGUGGGGAGCAAACAGGAUUAGAUACCCGUGUAGUC